CCUACGGGGUGCAGCAGUGGGGGAUAUUGCACAAUGGGGGAAACCCUGAUGCAGCGACGCCGCGUGGGUGAAGAAGUAUUUCGGUAUGUAAAGCCCUAUCAGCAGGGAAGAAAGAAGACGGUACCUGACUAAGAAGCCCCGGCUAACUACGUGCCAGCAGCCGCGGUAAUACGUAGGGGGCGAGCGUUAUCCGGAUUCACUGGGUGUAAAGGGAGCGUAGACGGCCGUGCAAGCCAGGAGUGAAAGCCCGGGGCCCAACCCCGGGACUGCUCUUGGAACUGUGCGGCUGGAGUGCGGGAGGGGCAGGCGGAAUUCCUGGUGUAGCGGUGAAAUGCGUAGAUAUCAGGAGGAACACCGGCGGCGAAGGCGGCCUGCUGGACCGCGACUGACGUUGAGGCUCGAAAGCGUGGGGAGCGAACAGGAUUAGAUACUCGUGUAGUC
rnacentral:rRNA from 1 species